rnacentral:ncRNA from 1 species
GCAGAGUAGUAAACCGAGCGUAAAGUGUCUUUCGGACGGGGAGUUGCCGAAAGGACGAAGAAACGUAAUGUUUUGCGGUUCGGUUUCCGCAUCCCGCUGC